CUCCCCUGAUGGGCGGAGUCUGGGGUCUGCUUCAGCUUCUCUCGUUUCCGCGCGCUGAGCUGUGCUUACAACUGUGUGAGGUAGCGUGAAUUCAGGCUACAAAUCUGAGUGCUGACCUCUUUGUGAUGACAAAUUCUCAGGGCUGCUGUGAGCCGUGGCAUAUGAAACACCUGGGCCUAACACAGAGUAAGUGUUCGCUGCACACUGUUAUUUAUAUGGGGAUCUGAAAAUCUCCCAGCCAGGUAGAUAUUGUGACCUCCAUUUCAACAAUGAGGAACCCAAGCCACGCAAAGAUAGAGCACUUUGUGCAGCUCACAGUAGCAAGCGGGAACUCCUACCAAACUGCCUGCUUCCCAUGUCCCUCUGCUCUACUUCCUCUCAUCUUUCAGUGAUUUUGUUUCUGACAUUUCAUGGAUUUUGAAUCAUUCAAGGAUUUCCAGUUUCACCCCACAACGAUGAUGGCACCCCGUGCUUCCCAGGCCUUCGUGAUUUUCAAUGCACACUCCUAUGGGUCAUCCCAAAUUCAAAUCCUGCCAACAGCCCAGCAACACACAGUGUGGGUGAACCAUCUCCCUCAUUUUACGAACAGGAAAACCAACUCCUAAUGGCAGAGUCACUCAUGAGGCCACAGCAAAAAAAAAAAAAAAAGAGGCAAAAACCAUCAUCAGAACCCAAAUACUACCUCACAUUCACAUCCCCAAACUCAAUGCCUUCUCUUUUCCCUUCUCCCCCACCGCCAAGAGGUUCUGCAUUCAGCAGGCACUCAGUCAGUGCUCAUUGGAAGCUGCCACUUCCGAAGUGGGUGCUGCUAAGCACGUGUGAUGACCAUCUACAGACAAGAGGAAAAGCCAGGGAGCGUGGGUGGGGGCGAGCUGCAGCCUUAGCUGACUCAGCUCUGGCAAUUCUGUCUGCACCCCACGCUGCCUUUGGGCAUCAGUGAGGGGUUAAUUAUAAGUAUCUAAAAUAUUUUGGAAGAAAGUAUUUCAAAAGCAAAAAAUUUUUUUUCAUGGAACUUCCUCCCAAGAUGGAGAAACCACAAGGCUAAGUUCUUCUUUCCAAAUAAAAGCAUUAAUCCGCUUCUCCAAAUUUGAGCUGUACAGGAGACAAAGAUUCAUCCAAACUCCUGCUAAGCUCAACUCUCAGGAACCAGUUUCAUCUAUGGCCUUCUGGGGCUAAGAAUGUGUGGCUGGGAGGGUAAAUGAAUCAUUAUUUAAUGGGAAAGGGAAUUGUCCUCAAAGAGGUGGCAUGGGGUGAAUUGAUUCCCGCCUCCCCAGUUCAUGUGAUGAAGUCCUAAUCCCUGGGGCCUUAGAAUGGGACUGUUUUUUGGGGACAGACUAUUUAAAGGAAAUGAUGAGGUUAAAUAAAGUUGGUAGGGUGGACCCAGUUCCAGGAGGACUGGCAUCCUUACCAACAGCGCUCAGAACACAGAAGCGCACAGAGGCAAGACCUUGGGGAGAUGACAGAGGAAAGUGACUGUCACUAAGCCAAGGACAGGGGUUUCAGAAGAAGCCAGCCCUGCCAGUCACUUGACCCUGGGCUUGUGGCCUCCAGACUGGUCAGUGGCUUUUUCAAGCUGCCCAGCUUGAUGUCCUUUGUUAAGGCAGCCCAAGCAAAAGGAAGCAGAUGCCCAUCUCUUGGGCACAAUCCAUACCACGCCCACCACCGCACGGCUUCUCUACUCAGCCGCAUCACUCACCUGUCCUGCUGGCAUUUGAGUUUAUUCCCAUCAACUGACUACCUAAGGAGAGGCUCAGAACUGCUUUUGACUCUUCAUUCUUGACCCCCAAACCCAGCAUCUUUGGCACACAUUCCCACCCCAUUCAUGGGCACAAGAUAUUUUAAGAUGCACCAUUCACCCCCUGUUCUAUAUCCUCCAGUUCCAAGAAAUUUUCAGGGUUUGUCUCUUUGAUGCUUUCCUCUGUUUUCUCAUUUCUCCUUUUCCGAAAUUCCCUUUCGUCAGAUGUCUGGAUAUCAGCUCACAGUGACCCCACCUGUCUUAGGGACAUGCCCAGAUCCUCUGCCUGCCUCUCUUUUGCCCGCUAUAGAAAGCAGAAUGAUGGAGAAAUGGAGGCAGGGAGACAGCAGGGCUUGACUUGUGUCCAUGUCCUAACCCCUACUACCUGAGGAUGCAAUCUUGUUUGGAAAUAAGAUCUUCGUAGAACUGGUUAAGGAUCGUGAGAGGAGCUCAUCCUGGACUUAGGCUAGGAGACCAGCAUCCCUCUAAGAGAGAUGGGGAGAUUUGAGAAAGAGACACAGGGGAGAGAGGAGGAGGCGGCCAGUGAAAAUAGAGGCAGAGUGGUGAUCAUGUGUCUUACAAGCUGAGGGUUUCCAGCGGCCACCAGGAGCAGGGAGAGGCAAGGCAAGUGCCCUCCUGGAGUCUUUGGUGGAAGCAUAGCCCUGCUGACAGUUGAUUUCAGACUUCUGGCCUCCGGGACCGUGAGAGAAUCCCUUUCUGUGAUCACGUACCACCCAUUUUGUGGUAGUUUAUUAUGGCAGCCCUGAGAAAGAGACUUACUGAGGCUCAACAUCACAUGACCAUGAGUAAUUUACUAAUCAGCGCUGCAGUCCCAGCCUCCAUAUGGGGCCGGGGAUUUAGCUCAGUAGUUCCGCCGCCUGCCUGCCUCGUAAGCACAAGGUCCCG